rnacentral:tRNA from 1 species
GGGAAUGUGGCUUAGUGGUAGAGUGAUUGCCUAGCAUGCAUGAAGCCCUGGGUUCAAUUCCUCAGUACCA